UACGAAGGGGGCUAGCGUUGCUCGGAAUCACUGGGCGUAAAGGGUGCGUAGGCGGGUCUUUAAGUCAGGGGUGAAAUCCUGGAGCUCAACUCCAGAACUGCCUUUGAUACUGGGAAUCUUGAGUUCGGGAGAGGUGAGUGGAAUUGCGAGUGUAGAGGUGAAAUUCGUAGAUAUUCGCAAGAACACCAGUGGCGAAGGCGGCUCACUGGCCCGAUACUGACGCUGAGGUGCGAAAGCGUGGGGAGCAAACAGG
rnacentral:rRNA from 1 species